rnacentral:rRNA from 1 species
UACGUAGGGGGCGAGCGUUGUCCGGAGUUACUGGGCGUAAAGGGCGUGCAGGCGGUGCAGUAAGUUUGGAGUGACAGUACCCGGCUCAACUGGGUAAGGCCUUCGAAAAACUGCUGGACUUGAGGGCCAGAGAGGGACAUAGAAUUCCGGGUGGAGUGGUGAAAUGCGUAGAUAUCCGGAGGAAUACCAAAGGCGAAGGCAGUGUCCUGGCUGGCAUCUGACGCUGAGGCGCGAAAAGCUAGGGGGAGCGAACAGG